CCUACGGGCGGCAGCAGUGGGGAAUAUUGGACAAUGGGCGAAAGCCUGAUCCAGCCAUGCCGCGUGUGUGAAGAAGGCCUUCGGGUUGUAAAGCACUUUCAGUGGGGAAGAAAGCCUUGGGGCUAAUACCCUCGAGGAAGGACAUCACCCACAGAAGAAGCACCGGCUAACUCCGUGCCAGCAGCCGCGGUAAUACGGAGGGUGCGAGCGUUAAUCGGAAUUACUGGGCGUAAAGCGCGCGUAGGCGGUCUGAUAAGCCGGUUGUGAAAGCCCCGGGCUCAACCUGGGAACGGCAUCCGGAACUGUCAGGCUAGAGUGCAGGAGAGGAAGGUAGAAUUCCCGGUGUAGCGGUGAAAUGCGUAGAGAUCGGGAGGAAUACCAGUGGCGAAGGCGGCCUUCUGGACUGACACUGACGCUGAGGUGCGAAAGCGUGGGUAGCAAACAGGAUUUAGAUACCCCAGUAGUC
rnacentral:rRNA from 1 species